rnacentral:tRNA from 1 species
AGUUUUAUAGGAUAUAAAAUCUAUCAGCUUGCAGAUCUGAAGAAACUAACUAGUUAAAACUU